rnacentral:rRNA from 1 species
UACGUAGGGUGCGAGCGUUAAUCGGAAUUAUUGGGCGUAAAGCGUGCGCAGGCGGUUUUGUAAGCCAGAUGUGAAAUCCCCGGGCUUAACCUGGGAAUGGCAUUUGGGACUGCAAGGCUUGAGUGCGGCAGAGGAGACUGGAAUUCCUGGUGUAGCAGUGAAAUGCGUAGAUAUCAGGAGGAACACCGAUGGCGAAGGCAGGUCUCUGGGCUGACACUGACGCUCAUGCACGAAAGCGUGGGGAGCAAACAGG